GAUGAACGCUGGCGGCGUGCUUAACACAUGCAAGUCGAACGGAAAGGCCCAAGCUUGCUUGUGUACUCGAGUGGCGAACGGGUGCGUAACACGUGGGUGAUCUGCCCUGCACUUCGGGGGAAGCCUGGGAAACUGGGUCUAAUACCGGAUAGGACCACAUUUUGGGUGGUGUGGUGGAAAGUUUUUCGGUGUGGGCUGAGCUCGCGGCCUAUCAGCGUGUUGGUGGGGUAAUGGGCUACGAAGGCGUCGACGGGUAGCCGGCCAGUGAGGGUGUACGGCGAUAUUGGGACUGAGAGGCGGCCCAGACGCCUAAGGGAGGCAGAAGUGGGGAAUAUUGCACAAGGGGCGCCAGCCGGAUGAAGCGACGCCGCGGGGGGGAUGACGGCCUUCGGGUGGGAAACUCCUUUCGCUAGGGACGAAGCGUUAUGUGACGGUACCUGGAGAAGAAGCACCGGCUAACUACGUG
rnacentral:rRNA from 1 species